rnacentral:lncRNA from 1 species
GGGAUUUUGAAGAUGUAGUUAAAGCCCCAAAGUGGUUGACUUUUUACAAUACGGAGAGCAUUUGGUUGAGACUGAUCUAAUCACAUGAGCCCUUUCAAAGCAGAAUUUUCUCGGGCUAGUAGCAGAAUGGGAAUUGGAAAUUUAAAGUGCAAGAAGGAACUAAUGUGAAGAAGAUUCUCCAUUGCUGAGAUGGAGUGGGGCACGUGGCAGGGAUCUAAGAGUGGCCUCCAGAAGCUCUAAAUCUCCAGAAUCUCCAGGGAUUGGAACCAAGUGCUUUAUCUUUACCAUAUACCAAUCCAUGAAUCAACUCCAAAACAGAUCUCUAGAAACAGACAAGACUGACUACUGCCUGAAGGUUUCUGACACCAAGUUCCUGAGAUGUACCAAAUAUGAAAUAAUUUUAGAAUUCGAUCUCAAAUGGCCCUUUUGCAAACUCCAAAAUGUUGUGUACAUGGAACAGAGGCUGUUAGGAAAUUUGCCUUGCAACUAAAAUUUAAGCAAAGAAACAACUUGUCAUCUACCUGUUUACCUCUAACAGAAGCUUAUACACAUAUGCAUGGGCUUGGAGAAAAUGAUAUUCACUUAAAAACAAUAUAAUAAUGACAUGUACAGAGCCAUAUAGCUCCAAAACCUUUCAAGUGCUACGUCCAUUUGUGAGGACAUAUUUAUCAGUCUAGUACUACCUUGUAACAGUACAAAAGUACAUUCACAUUAUUUUUUCUAAAGGAGCUUAGUUCCUAGAGGGAAAAAUACACUCUUCUCAAAGUUUUAUAAUAAUAAUUAACAUACCCUACAUGAUGUUUGUGAGACUCAAAUAAGGAAAACAAUGGAAUAUGCUAUAUAAGAGCAA